GAAGGGCAUUGCUGGGUUGAGGGGGACAAUUCAGCUUCCAGCUUGGAUUCAAGAUCUUUUGGCCCAGUUCCUCUGGGCCUGGUUCAAGGGAGGGUUACCCAUAUAGUCUGGCCUCCGCAGAGAGUGGGUCAAGUGAGGAGAAGCAUUCCAGAAGGAAGAUUUUCUCUGUGAUACUUAUAUGCAUCAAUGCAUGUGAAAGCGUGGGAUGACAAGUUCAUUUUUCUCAUGGCCCUUCAUGAACUAAUAAUCCUUCAAUUGGAUGGAUGAGUUUGCCGUGCAAUUUGGUGUUAACAAUGUGUGCUCCAUGUUUUCACAACACCUGAACACCACCUUACAUGCUUUAGCAGGCCAAUUCUGUAACUUUGCUUUGACAAUUCUUUCUGAUAAUUUUUAGCACAUUCCUUGGAUAUUUGGUAUUGAUUUCUUAUCCUCUCAUGGUGGCUAAGAAUAUACUGAUAAAGGAGCUCAACAAAGUUUUGUCUUGGGAAUCUUUUUGGCCCCUGCAGGAUCAUGAACAUGCAGCCA